CCUCUACCGACACAUUUCAGCCGCCGCAAUCACAAUGGAUUCCUCGAGAAUUAGUUUACGCAAGAAGAAGAAGAUCAAACCCAAAUCUGAUUUAGCUUUGUUGAUUGAAUCAUAGCAUGAUGAUAUCUCCUCUCAAUACUAAAGCUUUACCUAGCUACCUUGGCUCACAUUGAUGGGUCAUUCAUGAUUUAUUUCUGGGUCCGGUCAUGUCAUUUGUUUCUGGAAAAUGUUGAUGGAGGGUUCCCGUUAAUUUCCUUCAGUUCCAGUUCCGGUUCCAGUUCCAGUGAUGAGAUAACGAUUGAUGAAUUACGAUCUAUUUACAAGAUAGACAGAGACAUGUACAGAAAACUUGCAGUGAACAUGCGCAAGGAACCUUUAGUCUGUAUGGCUGUGAUGGCUCUCUGGCUCUUCAUGGAAGAGCUUGGAUAUCCCAAUGUUACUGUCAUCCCUAUGUUACUGUCAUAUCCGAGCGAUAUCAUUAAUUCAGCCUUUGAAGAAGAGAAAUUGUUAGUAUAUCAUAUAGUCACCAGGACUCCACCUCCUUCUUCAUUAAUUGAGUUGCCCAUAACGUUAAGAUUGAUACACGCUGUUUCACGAUGGAACAAUUCCGUAUAUCGAAAUCAUGAACAAAGUAAAAGAUCUCUCCUGUACUUUGUUUGAAGAUAUUUUCAGAGAAGCAUUGUCAGGGAACAACGUAUAUAGUCAGAGAUUAUUUGAUGAAAUUGGGGGCUCUUCUUCCUUGCGUAUAGUGGAGGAACCACAGGUAGUACGAGUUAGUACUCCACCGAGUGCACGAACUAUGUUCUCUACAGGAUUUCCAAUUACUGAAGAUCAAUUGCGAGAGUAGUUUGUCGGGAUGCAUGGGGGGACUGUAUAGAAAGAAUCGAUA